AAAAUCCGUCGAAUUUUCAAAUCGUGAGGGUUCAAGUCCCUCUAUCCCCAA
rnacentral:tRNA from 3 species